GAUUGCAGGCUGCAACCCGCCUGCAUGAAGUCGGAAUUGCUAGUAAUCGCGGAUCAGCAUGCCGCGGUGAAUACGUUCCCGGGUCUUGUACACACCGCCCGUCACACCAUGGGAGUUGGGAAUGCCCGAAGGCCGGUGACCUAAACCGAAAGGGAGGAGCCGUCGAAGGCAGGCUUGAUAACUGGGGUGAAGUCGUAACAAGGUAAC
rnacentral:rRNA from 1 species